rnacentral:rRNA from 1 species
CCUACGGGCUGCAGCAGUGGGGAAUAUUGCACAAUGGGCGCAAGCCUGAUGCAGCCAUGCCGCGUGUAUGAAGAAGGCCUUCGGGUUGUAAAGCACUUUCAGCGAGGGGGAAAGCGAUAAGGUUAAUAACCUUGUCGAUUGACGUUACUCGCAGAAGAAGCACCGGCUAACUCCGUGCCAGCAGCCGCGGUAAUACGGAGGGUGCAAGCGUUAAUCGGAAUUACUGGGCGUAAAGCGCACGCAGGCGGUCUGUCAAGUCGGAUGUGAAAUCCCCGGGCUCAACCUGGGAACUGCAUUCGAAACUGGCAGGCUAGAGUCUUGUAGAGGGGGGUAGAAUUCCAGGUGUAGCGGUGAAAUGCGUAGAGAUCUGGAGGAAUACCGGUGGCGAAGGCGGCCCCCUGGACAAAGACUGACGCUCAGGUGCGAAAGCGUGGGGAGCAAACAGGAUUAGAUACCCCCGUAGUC